AUAAGAAGUAAGAAACCUGGAUUAAAAGUUUAUCUGACACGCUCCGUACAUGCUUAUAACCACUACAUUUGCUGCCUCCUUUAAGAACAUAUACUAUAUCACACAGAUUAUAAAAUUUACCAGUAUAGGGACCCUACAUGGAUAACCUUAUAAUCAAUGAGAUUAUCUUUUAGCUCCUCUGUAGAGGAAAGAUAUUUAGAGGGAAAAGACUGGUCUUUAUGACCUUUAUGUCCUGACCUGGCUGGUCUCUUAUAAGGCAGCACUGCCUGCAUUCUUUCAUUCAUUUAUCAAAAAAACAGAAGAGUAUGGAGUUCCUGUCAUGGUGCAGUGGUUAACGAAUCUGACUAGCACCCAUGAGGAUGCCGGGAUUGAACUGCAGCCUCGAGGGUCCUAGUUGGAUUCAUUAACCACUGAGCCACGACGGGAACUCCUAGACACCAGUUUUAUGCAGGCAAGCAUGCAGGUACCAGCAAAGGUUUUUUGUUUUUGUUUUUUUAAGCAAACAGCAUGUCUUAUUUAUUUAUAAAUUAGCACAUAAAUGCUCAUAAAUGAUUUGUAAUGUUUUGAAAUUUCAGAAAGUGGCUGUUCUAAAAAGCACUGAUAGCUUCAGUGGUGGCUUUAGAGGAAAAUCCUAGGAAAUUGCAUUCAGUUUUUUUUCUUUAUAGUUCUCUUUGUUCUUUUUUUUUUUUUUUUUUUUGUCUUUUUGCCAUUUCUUGGGCCGCUCCCUCGGCAUAUGGAGGUUCCCAGGCUAUGGGUGGAAUCGGAGCUGUAGCCACCAGCCUAUGCCAGAGCCACAGCAAUGCGGGAUUCAAGCCGCGUCUGCAACCUACACUAUAGCUCAAGGCAACGCCAGAUCCUUAACCCACUGAGCAAGGCCAGGGAUUGAUCCCACAACUUCAUGGUCCUGGUCGGAUUUGUUAAGCACUGCGCCACGAUGGGAACUCCAGUAAAGUUUAAUCCUUUGUAUUUUUCCCCCCAUUUAUAGUUUGUCUUUAUUGUACCUUGUGUAAUGUUCUCUUUUGCUUAAGUGUUGACUUUUUAAGAUAGCACCAUCUAAUAACCUCUUAGCCAGAGAUUCUAAAAAUUUUCAUCAUGAGGCAGUUUUCUAUGUUACUUUUCGAACAGAAUUCAAGGAUAGCUGUUUUUUAUUUAAAAAAAUUUUUUUAAGGAUAGCUAGUGAGGAGGUAAGGACUGAGAAUUCUAGGAAUAAAAAUGGAAGUAUUGGAGUUCCUGUUUUGGCCCAGCAGGUUAAGAACCCAACAUAGUGUCUCUGAGGAUGCAGGUUUGAUCCCUGGCCUUGCUCAGUAGGUUAAGAAUCUGGCAUUGCCUCAAACUGUGCUGUUGGAUCCAGUGUUGCUAUGGCUGUGGCCUAGGCUGGCAGCUGUAGCUCGGAUUAGACCCCUAGCCUGGGAACUUCCAUAUACUGCAAGUGUGGACCCC
rnacentral:lncRNA from 1 species